rnacentral:rRNA from 1 species
CACGUAGGGCGCAAGCGUUGUCCGGAAUUAUUGGGCGUAAAGAGCGCGUAGGCGGUCCGAUAAGUCGGCUGUGAAAGUCAGGGGCUCAACCCUUGAAAGCCGGCCGAUACUGUCGGACUAGAGUCCGGAAGAGGCGAGUGGAAUUCCCGGUGUAGCGGUGAAAUGCGCAGAUAUCGGGAGGAACACCAAUGGCGAAGGCGACUUCCUGGCCUGUUCUUGACGCUGAGGCGCGAAAGCUAGGGUAGCAAACGGG